AUUCUGCCCAUGCGGGGAAGGAUGAGAAGCUUCGACCAAGGUUCGACUCGAGCGCCAGCGAGAAAGCUUUGCCGCAGGCAACGACCCGAAGGGCGAAGCGCGCAGCGCUGAGUAAUCCUUCCCCCACCACCA
rnacentral:sRNA from 1 species